rfam:Salmo salar isolate Sally breed double haploid chromosome ssa26, whole genome shotgun sequence.
UCCUGUCGCUACUGUAAGUCGCUCUGGAUAAGAGUGUCUGCUAAAUGACUAUAA